CUGAAGGCUACCAGGUACCUCUGCACCUGUCAUCACAUCUGACCACAAUGACCUUUAGGGAGUAACAGUGGCUGCUGCUUCACUUCUGCCUUCCAAAUCUUGUACAAGUUCCUCUUUUGCUCAACUCUGGCCUGGAACCAUAAAGGGAACCAUAUGUAGUUCCCAGCUAAGCCAAGUUGACACAGCGAAAUCCAGAACACACUUUUGAGCAGAAAAAGGCAAACUAAAGUAAGGGUCACUAAUGUGGGAGGGGAUGUCCCAUUAGAGUCACCCUUGACUCCUCAUAUCUCCCACAUGCCCAGUUUUUCAUCAAAUUCUCUAGCUUUGAUCGGCACAAUGACACACACAUUUAUCACCUCUUCUCUAUCACCGUGGUCAUCACCGGAGUUCUGAUUCUCUUUACCAUUUUUCUUAAAAAGUGAAUGUUUUUCGUGUCCUCUAUUCAUGCUGCUCUCUCUGGCCUAUGCAUUCUUUGCAUUUGAUACCUCUCCCUAGAACGCUCUUCUCCUUUAUACUUCAAGUAUCCAUUUAAAUAUUACUUCCUUUUGGACGAAUUUUUGAAUCCCUCCAAAAAUCUGAUUUAGGGGCUUCUCUAUUUUAGCAUUUAUUACACUUUAAAUAUUAUUUAAUUAUCUUUUUUCUGCAUCUUCACCUACUAGUGCCUUGCAUAUAGGAACUCAAUAAUUGUUAGGUGGUUGACAGAAUGAAUGAAUAAAUGAGUAAUAAGUCUCUCCAUUUCCAGUAUAUCUUCCCUUUAAUAUAUUCUAUAUUCUACAUAGAAAUCGAUGUUUUUGAAAGCUUAAACUUCUUCCGUGGGCUAGUCAUUGCCAGUGGAAUAAAAUUUAGAAACUUCAUCUGGGCAUUCAAGAGCCACCACAUGUGAUCCCAGCCUCUUUUCUAAAUAUUUCCCAUCAGUCCUCUACAUGUUUUCCUGCAGACAACCAAACUGAACUGUAGGUUCUUCCCUGACAAAGAGUAAUUAUUUGCCAUAAUAAUCUCAAACGAACAGCCUUUAUUUAUUAAGCACAUAUUAUUUACUAGGCACCAUGAUAAACAUUUUAUAUAUGAUAUUUUAUUGAAUCAUCAAAAUAAGAGAUGAGAAUGCAUUCCUCAUUCUAGACAUAAAAACACUAAAGUUCAGAAGGAUAAGUCACCUGCCCGAGGUCACACAGCGAGGAAAUGAUAAAACCAGUGCUUAAACUCAUAUAUUAUCUGAUUCCACAGUCAAGAUUAUAACCACUCUACUGAAUUGCAUCCUUCUUUAAGCGGCUCUCAAUAACUGUCUGUUUAAAUGAUUAAUUAGGUGCUUACCAAAUGAAAUACUUGGAAUAGUUUAUCAUUUGAAUUCUCAAACAGCUUUAUUGGGGAAGAACUACUAUUUCCAGAUUAUAGAUGAUAAAAGUGAGACCCAAAGAGGAAGUAACUUAGUGGGGGUCACAUAGAUCAAAAGGGCAAAACUGAACUUGAAGCCUGAUCUGCCUGCCGACAGAGCUGGAGGACCUAAUCACUGUCAAAAUCUCGGCUAACCUCUUGUCUAAGUGUCCUAUGGGUAAGGGGACAGUUCUCAGGGAGGCUAAGUGACAGCCCCGAGGGUGGUACACUAGGACUCUGGCUUGCUGUCCGGUGUGUUUUUAUCAUAAGAUCUGUCUCCUUCCCUGACCAGAAAUUGGUCCUAGGCCACAGCAUGAUAAGAGCCAAGUCUUGCCGACCAGACAGUGGGAGCACGCCCAGCCCGCUCAGCCUUUGCUCGUUCUGUACCCCCUGCCUAUUAAAAUUCAAUUUCACUCUGCUGGCCCUCAAGCCAUCUGUUUCCUGUUUUCUAAGAAUACAGGGAAGAGUGAAUCAGGGAGAUGUUGUGCCUGCCUUCCAGGAGCUUCAAAAUAAAGAGUGGCAGUGCGGACAGGAACACCGUGACCAUGAAACAAAGGUUCCAUGAAAACAAGCACACAGGGCUUUCCAUUCACACCGCUGCGGAGCCGGGGAGUCCUGAAAGCCGCAAGCUUAUCCCGAGCUGGUUCUAGGGAAAUUAUCACCUUCCUGGAGAAAUUUUAAGAGCUGAAAUGCUGCAAGAGGAACCCAUCCACCCAGAAACUGGGCAUUGGGUGGGGCUAGGGCGCCGCAUGAAGGCAUGGAGCGGCCAGACCUUCCUGGAAGCCACGUCUUACCGAGUCUUAUUAGAUGGAUGCCAGCAGCUGCCAGCCGUGCCUCCGAGUGUGCAGAUGUCAAGAGGAAAAAUAAUCACAGGAUGAUGCAGCUAAACUCAGCGGGUCCUCACCAUGUGCCAGGGACUGUGGAAGGGGCUUCAGGUACUUGCUAAUGAAAAUACCAGCCAAUAUUCAUGUCAAAACUAUGCUUUCCACUCUACACACAAGAGUUCCACAUAAAUCAAUGAGUCCAUUGUCUUAGAACCAAUUGCCUAUAUGAAAUUUACAAUAAAAGCAUUUCUAUUUUA